rnacentral:misc_RNA from 1 species
AGUUAAAAAGAAUUGAAUUCUUUCCUUCUAAACGUGAGAAUUAGCCAAAAAGAAAUCAUUUGAAUUGAGUUCUUGCAAACCAAACAAGGGGAAUAAGAUUUGUUUUGAGCAUAAUGCUCACUUGAAUCAUUCUCAAAGAAAUAAUUCCUCAAUAGAUUUUUUUUUGGGUCUGAUGUCCUUGCUUUUUCUCCCCUCAAAUGCUAUCAACAACGGUAAACAACAUGAUUUAUUUGGCUACCAUGUUUUAUAUUACUGUACUUUGUUCGCAUUUCACAAAUUAGGGAUAUAGAGAAGAUGAUGGUUUGAAUCUAGAGAGUGAUGCGGAUGAGCAGUUGCUGAUCUAUAUACCUUUCACUCAAGUUGUUAAACUGUACUCUGUUGUCGUGCAAGGACCUGAAGAAGAAGGUAUCUGUUAAUAUAAACCCUUUUCAUUUUUUUAACAGCACCAUCUUUUAUGAAAUUUAAUCAUUCAUAGGUUUAAUCUACAAGUUCCACUUUGCAAAGGUUUUAGUGAAAAUGGUCUCAUCCGCAUGGUUAGUAUUCUAAUGAAAAGGGUGUCUCCCCAGGUCCCAAGACUGUAAAACUUUUCUCAAACAAGGAGCAUAUGGGAUUUAGUAAUGUCAACGAAUUCCCUCCUAGUGACACUGCAAUUUUAUCACCAGAUAAUCUCAAGGUUUGUUGUUAUCUUGUGCUGCUACUUUGACGCCGAGGCUAUGUUUUCAUAAAUUAUGUUAACAGAAUCUUUUGUGUUGCCAUUUAUGUUUUGUUAACUUCUCUGUAGGAAAAACCUGUAGUCUUGAAGUAUGUUAAAUUUCAGAAUGUUCGCAGGUAUCUGAAGUUCUUGUGUUGUUAUACUCCAUUUUGUUUUAUCCUAAUAUUUGAUUAUCUCUAGCAGCUAUUUUACUUAAUUUUUAUCAGUUUGACAAUAUUUAUUGAAGAUAACCAGUCAGGUUCUGACAUCACCAAAGUCCAAAAGAUUGCUCUGUUUGGAACAACGUAAGUUUUGAAUGAUCAUUGAAUUUUAGCUAUAGGUUCCCUUCUUUUGGUGCUACAACUGUCUUCUUUACCCCUAUGAUAUCUCUGUCAUUUAUGUGCUUGGCUUCCUAUCCAGUGAACCAGUGUCAUUACUUAUUUCUUUGGCAAUUAUAAUGACAUAUUUUGGAGUAGCAACUUUAUAGUCAUUAUUAGGUUAUGGAAACCCGUAAAUUCUAAUGACUAGUUCGACUGUUCAAAAGUUAAAUUUGAAUUUGGAGUGUUUUUGUUAACUCAUGCUGCUUGUGCUUACCGGCUGAAUGCAUACUACUUCCAGUUUUGUACAACCAAUAGGAUAUGGAUUAGAUUUUUGCAUGUCUCAUGUGCUCCCAAAUCUUGUGAUGAAAGACAAUUCCAUUGUUUACUCCUGCUUGAAGUUUUUUGUUCAGUGUAUCAUAAUCAAAGAAGACAUAAAUCAAGUUUUAUCAACCAAGAGAUAUUUGCAUUUUAUAUGAUUUUUUGUUGGGUGAACUAUCAUCUGACUUCUUUCAUCAAGUACUAGAAAGAAAUAGUGAGAUUAUUUAUUGAUUUGAUCCUCGGAUCAGCUGGUACUAACUGUACAGAAGGUACACUGAAAAGACAGGUAAGUUGCAUGUGCAGCUGUCAUUUUUACUUGUUUCAAAGUGAAAAAAACAAUUAAAGCAUCCUUUACCUCCACAGUUCUUUAGCUUUUCGUCCUUAUUGAACAACUUGGUUAGAACAGUUUAUAUAUCUCUAACAUAUUCUGUAUUUAACUUUCAUAGUUGCAAUUUGCUUUUUCCCUGUUCUCCUUUAAUAAAUGUAGGUGCUCUGGGCAUCCCACAUCAAUUUGCUGAGUGUUUUCUCGUAUUGCAGGGUGGAAACAACAGACAUGAAGGGCUUGAAGAAGAUUGAGGAUCAUUGACAGUAUACGGGUGCUAAGAAAGGGUUGAAGUUUCUUGCAACCACUGUUAAAUUUCUCAUUUGUGUUUUUCUAAGUUAAAACCAGGUAUUAUAAAUAUCAAACAAUUUGGUGCCUGAAAGUUUUGUGGCUGUUAUUUCAACCUCUCUCGUCCUGGAAAUUUGGCAAAUUCCUAGAAUUCUGUGAUGUUUUUACCAACUUCUGAGGUCAUGUCUAGUUCGGUUACAUUUUAGCUUUGUUGUGAUACUUAGUUUAUCAAAUGUUUUCAGAUACCAAAUCUUGAUACGGACCCAGGAGAAUCGUUAGCUUAGUUCUUAUCGAUGGCCCUGCAAAGAAAGUUUUUCUCCAGAGCACUGCUGUCGAUGUUUACCUCAUUCUCCACGUAAAGCUACAUCUGUAGGCAUAUCAUUUUUCACUAUCCAUAAAAUAAUUAUCAAUUAUAAGUUCAAAAUUUUACUACUCAUAAUUUCA